GCCAGCUAUUAAAAUGGUCAUCACCAGACCAAGGCUCAAUCGAGUCAUGGAAGGAGGAAUCAGAAAUAAACUGCACAACGACUUGGCUGGUGACCCACUUCACAUCUCCUUGCUAAACACUGGAGAAUCAUGCGAAGACUUUGAUGUAACAGAUUGACCUCUAACAGCAACCAUGGGCAUCAGUGAUGAGAAAACCUGUGUUGAGACAGCAUUGGCUGAACCCCACAGAGUGUGUGCAUGUCUGCAGUGAGGAUGAACUCUUCCACCUUGAAAGCACAGAUGACAUGGCAAAUAAGAUUGAGACAGCAACAGGAGAACAGGCAGCCGACCAGGAGUGGCAUCAGCUCCACAGGCCAAGAUUACAUCUUCAUGUUUAAGAGGUUUGUUAUAUGAGGGGUGAAACUGUGCAGAGAGAAUCCUCAAAGGAACGAGACAGACUGCAGACGUGAGCACAGGGACAGACAUGGAGUUUAACGCCGCUGGAGAAAACUGCAAAUUGAAAAACUUUAACUAUAGGCCUCAUGGCCUCGUUGUCCACCCUGACGCUCCCUGGCUUGGUUCCUCACCAGAUGGGUUGAUCUUUGAUCCAUCUGCACAGCCACCGUUUGGACUGCUUGAGAUAAGGUGUCUUUAUGUGAGGAAUUAUGUUCACUUCAGAUACCUUCAACUAAGAA